GACGAACGCUGGCGGCGUGCCUAAUACAUGCAAGUAGAACGCUGAAGAGAGGAGCUUGCUCUUCUUGGAUGAGUUGCGAACGGGUGAGUAACGCGUAGGUAACCUGCCUUGUAGCGGGGGAUAACUAUUGGAAACGAUAGCUAAUACCGCAUAACAAUGGAUUACACAUGUCAUUUAUUUGAAAGGGGCAUUUGCUCCACUACAAGAUGGACCUGCGUUGUAUUAGCUAGUAGGUGAGGUAAUGGCUCACCUAGGCGACGAUACAUAGCCGACCUGAGAGGGUGAUCGGCCAAACUGGGAAUGAGACAAGGCCCAGAAUCCUACGGGAGGCAGCAGUAGGGAAUCUUCGGCAAUGGGGGCAAACCUGACCGAGCAACGCCGAGUGAGUGAAGAAGGUUGUCGGAUCGUAAAGCUCUGUUGUAAGUCAAGAACGGGUGUGAGAGUGGAAAGUUCACACUGUGACGGUAGCUUACCAGAAAGGGACGGCUAACUACGUG
rnacentral:rRNA from 1 species